AAUUCCUCUGGGGCAUCAGAGCUAGGUCACAAUGAAGAUGUCCAUCAUGACUUGGUCCUGUCUCCUCUUAACACUCUUUAUUCAGUGCAGAGGAUCCUGGGCCCAGUCUGUGGUGACUCAGCCAUCCUCAGUGUCCGGGAACCUGGGGCAGAGCCUCACCAUCUCCUGCACUGGAAACAGCAACAACAUAGGGCACAGUAAUAAUGGAAAAUAUGUAAAAUGGUACCAACAGUUCCCAGGAAUGGCCCCCAGGCUUCUUAUAUAUGAAACUACCAAGCGAUAUUCUGGGGUCCCUGAUCGCUUCUCUGGCUCCAGGUCUGGCAACACAGCCUCCUUGACCAUCACAGGGCUCCAGUCUGAGGAUGAGGCUGAUUAUUAUUGCUUUGUUGUGAAUUCUAGUCUCAGUGCUGACACAGUGCUCCAGGCCAGUGGGGAAGUGAAACAAAAACUACUUUUUACCCCAGUGAUGACUAAAUCUAUAGCUUUUUACUCUAAGCUGUGA